GGAAUGACAGAGGAGGAAAUUGUAAGAUCCCUGUUUUUCAGCUUGAAGAAGAACUUCCAGCAGCUCUCUGAAAGUAUUCAAAAUGUUGUAGAGGAAAUACAGGAAUGGCCCGAGACUACAAAGAACGAGCUUGAGCUUCUCAGAGCAGAGCUGGAGAAUAAACUAGGGCCAUCUGCACAGAAAACAGAAAUCAUUUUCUUGACACGAGUGCCGGAAUUUGGCGUAGUGCAUGUUCACGGUGAUGUCUGGAAGGAAAGGGGAUUGCUUGCAGCUCAAGACUUUUCCAGGUCARUGUCUGGAAGAGAAGUGGAAUGGACCACACCAGGUGCUUCUGACAACCCUCAUGGCAAUCAAGAUCAAAGAUCAACCUUCCAGGAUUCACCAUUCAUGAGUUCUCAAAGGAACAUGGACGUCAGAGCCAGUAGGAACAACAACCUUUAAGUUUUCCGGAUGCUGACCCUUGGGGUUCCGAUAAGUAUCAUAAUUCUGACUCGAGUCUUUGCCUUAGACUGGUCAUAGUCCCACACUCACAUCAGAUAUUCCAGUAUGGCCAGGGAAAAUCUCACCAAUUUAAAUUUGGCCACAUGGUUAUGCACAGAAAUGAAAUAUACUCAAAACAUGAUUGGAAGAAGAAAAAUGGGCUUAGUAUUCAAACUGAAUAAUUGCUGAAGAAAUACAGAGAGGGUGUAGAGGAAUCAAUACAUCUCCCCAUGGAAAAUUAACUUUUAACUCAAAUCACUGUAAGGGAUUUUAUAGAACAUAA